CCAUCAGCUGUGUGCUCAGCACUAGCACUCAAGCCAGUGAUCAACCCAAUCCCCAAAUCCUGAAUUUCUUGGACCAUUCCCAUUCUGUAUCAGUCUAAGUCCAAUUAAGAGACAGAAACCAGGCCCCGAUUUGAAAACGGCAGGUUCAAUACUAAGAAUAACAAAGCUAUGAUAAAAGGCUAAGUAUAAGAUGUCAGUACCCUAGAGCUGAGGGAAGGGACCCAAGAAAAGACAAACUUGUACAAAGGGAGUCUUCUCCUGAAGACUGGGCUUGGAUCUUGUUGGAAAAGGUAUAGUGGCAACACAGUCAAUGGCAGAGACAUGUGCUGAUUUUCCCAGGCCAGAACUUGUCCAGUUUCUGGGCAAAUGGGGACACAACCAUUUGGGAGUGAGAGUGGCCUGUUAAGGGAGUCAGUGGAGGUGGGAUGUCUGGAGACCACAGUACAUCAGGAAAGUCACACUUUUUGAGGGAUGUAGGAGACAAACCUCUGGGGAAGGGGUAGAAGCCAGCAGGACUGAGGAGCUGCUUCAGCCAAAGAUGAAGAAGCUCUAUACAGUCAACAAAAACAAGACCAGGAGCUGACUGUGGUUCAGAUCAUGAACUUAUUGCCAAAUUCAGACUUAAAUUGAAGAAAAGAGGGAAAACCACUAGACCGUUCAGGUAUGACCUAAAUCUUGCCUUAUGAUUAUACAGUGGAAGUGAGAAAUAGAUUUAAGGGACUAGAUCUGAUAGACAGAGUGCCUGAUGAACUAUGGACUGAGGUUCCUGACAUUGUACAGGAAACAGGAAUCAAGACCAUCCCAUGGAAAAGAAAUGCAAAAAAGCAAAAUGGCUGUCUGAGGAGGCUUUACAAAUAGCUGUGAAAAGAAGAGAAGUGAAAAACAAAGAAGAAAAGGAAAGAUAUAAGCAUCUGAAUGCAGAGUUCCAAAAGAAUAGCAAGGAGAGAUAAGAAAGCCUUCCUCAGCAAUCAAUGCAAAGAAAUAGAGUAAAACAACAGAAUGGGAAAGACUAGAGAUCUCUUCAAAAAAUUAGAGAUACCAAGGGAACAUUUCAUGCAAAGAUGGGCUCAAUAAAGGACAGAAAUGGUAUGGACCUAACAGAAGCAGAAGAUAUUAAGAACAGGUGGCAAGAAGAACUGUACAAAAAAGAUCUUCACGACCGAGAUAAUCACGAUGGUGUGAUCACUCAUUUAGAGCCAGAUAUCCGGGAAUGUGAAGUCAAAUGGGCCUUAC
ensembl:lncRNA